rnacentral:rRNA from 1 species
GUUGGGUAGGGGAGCGUUCUGUAAGCCUGUGAAGGUGGCCUGUGAGGGUUGCUGGAGGUAUCAGAAGUGCGAAUGCUGACAUAAGUAACGAUAAAGCGGGUGAAAAGCCCGCUCGCCGGAAGACCAAGGGUUCCUGUCCAACGUUAAUCGGGGCAGGGUGAGUCGACCCCUAAGGCGAGGCCGAAAGGCGUAGUCGAUGGGAAACGGGUUAAUAUUCCCGUACUUGGUGUUACUGCGAAGGGGGGACGGAGAAGGCUAUGUUGGCCGGGCGACGGUUGUCCCGGUUUAAGCGUGUAGGUGUGUGUUCCAGGUAAAUCCGGUUCACUUUAACACUGAGGCGUGACGACGAGGCACUACGGUGCUGAAGCAACAAAUGCCCUGCUUCCAGGAAAAGCCUCUAAGCAUCAGGUAACAUCAAAUCGUACCCCAAACCGACACAGGUGGUCAGGUAGAGAAUACCAAGGCGCUUGAGAGAACUCGGGUGAAGGAACUAGGCAAAAUGGUGCCGUAACUUCGGGAGAAGGCACGCUGACACGUAGGUGAAGUGAUUUACUCAUGGAGCUGAAGUCAGUCGAAGAUACCAGCUGGCUGCAACUGUUUAUUAAAAACACAGCACUGUGCAAACACGAAAGUGGACGUAUACGGUGUGACGCCUGCCCGGUGCCGGAAGGUUAAUUGAUGGGGUCAGCGCAAGCGAAGCUCCUGAUCGAAGCCCCGGUAAACGGCGGCCGUAACUAUAACGGUCCUAAGGUAGCGAAAUUCCUUGUCGGGUAAGUUCCGACCUGCACGAAUGGCGUAAUGAUGGCCAGGCUGUCUCCACCCGAGACUCAGUGAAAUUGAACUCGCUGUGAAGAUGCAGUGUACCCGCGGCAAGACGGAAAGACCCCGUGAACCUUUACUAUAGCUUGACACUGAACAUUGAGCCUUGAUGUGUAGGAUAGGUGGGAGGCUUUGAAGUGUGGACGCCAGUCUGCAUGGAGCCGACCUUGAAAUACCACCCUUUAAUGUUUGAUGUUCUAACGUGGACCCGUAAUCCGGGUUGCGGACAGUGUCUGGUGGGUAGUUUGACUGGGGCGGUCUCCUCCUAAAGAGUAACGGAGGAGCACGAAGGUUGGCUAAUCCUGGUCGGACAUCAGGAGGUUAGUGCAAUGGCAUAAGCCAGCUUGACUGCGAGCGUGACGGCGCGAGCAGGUGCGAAAGCAGGUCAUAGUGAUCCGGUGGUUCUGAAUGGAAGGGCCAUCGCUCAACGGAUAAAAGGUACUCCGGGGAUAACAGGCUGAUACCGCCCAAGAGUUCAUAUCGACGGCGGUGUUUGGCACCUCGAUGUCGGCUCAUCACAUCCUGGGGCUGAAGUAGGUCCCAAGGGUAUGGCUGUUCGCCAUUUAAAGUGGUACGCGAGCUGGGUUUAGAACGUCGUGAGACAGUUCGGUCCCUAUCUGCCGUGGGCGCUGGAGAACUGAGGGGGGCUGCUCCUAGUACGAGAGGACCGGAGUGGACGCAUCACUGGUGUUCGGGUUGUCAUGCCAAUGGCACUGCCCGGUAGCUAAAUGCGGAAGAGAUAAGUGCUGAAAGCAUCUAAGCACGAAACUUGCCCCGAGAUGAGUUCUCCCUGAGACUUAGAGUCUCCUGAAGGAACGUUGAAGACGACGACGUUGAUAGGCCGGGUGUGUAAGCGCAGCGAUGCGUUGAGCUA